UAUAUCCGCAUAGCUCUUACAAAACCAAGGAAUGGAUGCGGCCAUUACUUGAGGUAAAAGUCAAACACUGCUAUGAAUUUUCUCAUCUCUUUGCCAUUAUACAGAAUUCACAACACCAUGGACUAGAAAUGAAAUGCAAUUGCAAUUUGAGAGCUGCUUCCUCAUAUGAUUACUAGGCAACACAAUAUCAUUUGAUAAUUUCCAUUGAUUGAACUGAAUGUUCACAAUUUAGUUUAAUUGUGUAUCCAAACAAGCUCUUGAUCAUUUAAUUGAGAUAGUACUGUUCUAUGAAUACCUGUUGAGCAAGAGCUUAGAUUUCUUCAUCUUUGGUUUGUCUAUAUAACCAUAAGAAACUUUCAAUUCAAGCUUAUGUUUGGAUUAGCAUGACUAAUGAUUUGAUACAUUUGGAUGGAAACAUGAAGAUGAAAAACAAAGCAAGUUGCUAGAUUGGGAGAAGCACUUCAACAUCAUCUUAGGGAUCGAUGGAGGCCUUCUGUAUCUUCACCAAGAUUUGGGGUUGCCGCAACUCCCAUGGCAAUUUCACCAGUGAAAUCUGCGAGGAAGGGAAAGAGGCAUCCAGAGGAGUCCUAUUGAGAAACAAUUUGCUGCCAAAAAGCUGAAGAGAGAAGUAGAGGAAACAGUCGAGAAGCAGAAGAGUGGCCAGAAGUCAAAAGCUUCUUUUGAGGUGGCACCA